UUUACAUAUCAACUAUGAUGAACUACUGAGAAACAUCUGGCAUAUUGCUAUGACCUUAAACAAAAAAAGGAAUUCUCAAGGCAUGCCUACAUACCACAUGUUGGAAGAGUUUGUGGAAUGGCUGAAGGAAGAAAGAAUUUCCAGCCAGAAAAAUAAAAUUCUUUAUGAAUUUGUGAAUGGAAAUGAAACCCAAGGAACUAAUAUAUUUGCUUACCAUCCAGUUGAAAGUAUGCCAAUGGAAUAAAGUGCAACUGUCAAAGAAGUGCACAAAAUAAGGUCAUGUUUUCUGCAAAAGUUCACCAAGCUGAUUCAAACUACAAAUGGGAGUCAAGAAAAAAGUAAAACUAACUGAACUGCCACAGUUCAACUGUGAGAAAUGUUUGGUAAAAGUAUGUUUUGUUGUCAGAACAGCAGUGAAGUGGUUAGAGUAAAACUGUCUUCAUUGUUUAAGCAAUACAGAUUUUUUUUAAAAAACAUACUCCAUGCAUAAUAUAUCUUGAGUGCUCUUUUUUUAUUUAAAUAAUCAUACAGUUUCAAGAAAUUUGACAAUAAAUGCUAUCUUUAAUUUUAUAAGAAAAUAGUGCAUUGUUGCCAUGGUAUUAAACAUUAAUCUGACUAUAAAUUAUUGUAAAACAUC